rnacentral:rRNA from 1 species
UACGGAGGGUGCAAGCGUUAAUCGGAAUUACUGGGCGUAAAGCGUGCGUAGGUGGUUCGUUAAGUCCGUUAUGAAAGCCCCGAGCUCAACUUGGGAAUUGCAGUGGAUACUGGCGAGCUAGAGUGCGGUAGAGGAAGGUGGAAUUCCCGGUGUAGCGGUGAAAUGCGUAGAGAUCGGGAGGAACACCAGUGGCGAAGGCGAUCACCUGGGGUUGUUCUGACGCUGAGGAGCGAAAGCUAGGGGAGCAAACGGG